GAAUUGUAGGGCCCAUAAAAAAAUACACGUUGAGACCCACGCCCAUCGAUUGCUGAACAAAAUUGCAAGUAAAUGCACAAGCAAUGACUAUUUUCGCUUAUGCCGAUCGAUUGUAGCAAGACCUUUAAAUCACAACAUCUCCAUAGCAACCACAGUAAACAAUACAUUCAAAUCGCUGUGUGUCCUGACUUAGGCUGUUUCGCAAUGGAAUAUUUCAUAUAUGUUUUAUCUUUUCCUUAACAGACGCAUACAAGUAGUAUCAUAUGUAGUACACAAGCAAUACUUGCCAAAAAUCCCCGCAGCUCCUUUAAUGUCCCCGUGGGCUUUUUGGCAGCCUCCCUGAUCACAUUUCUUCGGGACUUUACACCGAUUUUGAAGAUAUCGGAAGGUGUUGGUAACGUCCCUGCACCACACUUUCUAAGUUUUUUAAUGAUGGUCUUCAUUGUGAUCUACAGUCCUGUAUCUCUAUCUGUCUUGCUAUACACCUUGUCAAUCUGCUAUUUGCACAGACGGUACCUUUUAACUAUGAUCCCUUUUAUGGCUUUUAUUCAUCUUUGUGACCACAGCGUUUGCUUUAUGAUGAAUAAAACAUCAGGAAAGAGUGUAUAUGAUUAGCUGGUCCAAGAGGGUACCCGUGUGCUCACGUGUAUGGUAUGGUAUGGUGGAUUUGUUUCAGAAAUGCUUCAUAAGUUACAUUAAGGAACAUCAUUUUUACAUUUGCACAAUUCAACAUGCCUGAUGUCCCGAUUCCCCUUAAAUGAAGUUGUAAGGGGUAAAUGCUAAGGGGUGUGAAGCCCUAGAAACCACGUGUGGUCAAGGACCAGACUCGACAUGAAGGGUAAGAGGAUUCUACUCUGAUACAAAACUCCAGCGGCAGAGCAGAGACCGAAAGAAGCAUAUAAAUGUAAGUAAGUAAGCAUAACUAAUGAUCUUCACAGUAACGUCACUCAUGUUUUAUCAGAUGUUGAAUCAUUUGCUAAUCCAUGUAAAUAUUCACCAGUUUGAAUUGUUGCUAGGGUUGGGCAAUAUAAUUCCAUUCAGUGUAGUCUUGGUAAAAAAAAAUUAAAACGCUACAAAUCUUAACCCAUAUCAGUAUUAGAUUCUUUAUUGGUAACAAAGUGGCUAACUUUUCUAAUGGGGUGUCAGCCUCUGCACACAUAGCCACAAAAUCUCCCAACAAACUGAAAUACCUGCCUCGUGAGUCAGGAAGAUAUAGUCACCAAUGCAACAGCAACUGCAUAUGGAAGAUUUUAUUCAGUUAGAUGGCAAAUGGUGCUCUUCAUUUUGUGUGUUCUUUGUGUGUUGAUAAUGUCUGAUGAGCUGUGUGCAAUAAUAAACGUGCUUCUCGUCUUUUUUCACGCAGGACCUGCACGUUGUCAUCUGGCAUUGUAAAAGAACCUUUGCCGAUGUUUAUCACCAUUUCAACAUGUAGCAAGCGGCAAGCUACAAUCGUAGUAAGAUCCCUAGCUGCACAAGGGUUUUCCUUGCAGAUUCCUCAAGCCUGAUUGUCCAUAGUAGCACAUACAAAAGUCGUUUUGUCGACUCACUUGGCGAAGCGCUCAGCAAUGGCGUUGUUCUUCCCUCGCCCGCCGACCAGCGACAACUCCUUCGCCGUGACACGCAGCGACUGCGACACCCACGUCUGUCGACUGAAGGGAGAAGGUUCCAUCUCUGCAGAUACCUCAAUGCCUACACAACACAAACAUCACAGCACGUCACAACAUCUCUGCCGGAGUUUUGUGCUGCAGAAGUCAAAAUAAACAUGGUCGGUGUUAUUUUGAA